AUAUUUUAUUUGAAUUUAUAAUUACAGGAGCAGUUAGAUGUGCUUGAGAGUGAGGGCUCGGACACCUCUGGCCCUUAUGACCAUUUGUCUCAGAUCUUGGGAUCAGAGCACUCUGGGAGGAUUCGUUGCAUGCCCGAACAUACAUUGACAAGCUAUUGGUCUGCUUCGAGUAUCUCCUCACAUGCUUUCAGGAUUGUCAGUCGAGAGCAACUUGACAAGACCUUGGUGCAGGCAGCUCAGGCUCAGGAGCAUGCAUCU
rnacentral:lncRNA from 1 species